AUUUUUUAUAUUGAUUAUAUGUGGAAAGAUGCUAUUUUGGAUAUAUCAAAUAAAAUAUUUCUAAAAGCAGUUUUACCUUUUCCUUCUGGGCUUGGUCCAUCAGGAAAGUGUUCCUGUACUACACUCCCAGCCCCACCCCGCCAUCAGUGUCUGCACCCGUCAGUGGCUUAACAAAAAGAGUGAAAAAUCGCAUUCCUCUUGAUCCGUGGUUGUGUGUUACCUUUAAUGUGCUUCAGCCAACAGUCGACAGCACCAGUGUCCUGCCAUGGGUCUUGGGCUUUUGGUGACCCAACAGAAAGAAAAAGAUACCUACAGUUGAAGAUUGGUUUUUAUUCUUUCGGAAAACAAAAUUUUAAGCACUUUGUUCCUCAGUUGGAUUUCAUUAGAUCCCAAGUGUAUGGGAUCAGUGGUGUGAAAAAAGGAAGCACAAUUGGCAAGUGAUCGCUUUUCCAGUCAUUCCAAUAGACCGUGAGUUUUAGAUGUGCAAUGUUCCUGACAGCAGUGAAGAAAAGGCCUUCCGGAGAUUCCUGGCUUUUGAAGCACCUUCCCCUCCUGUCCACGCAUUUACAUCCUUGUAGUGGCCAGUAGAGCUCGGGGUUGCUGUGAGUUGGAAGAACACUGGGUUGACAGAUCUACUGUGAGCUGUAUCGGGACUGCUUUGAAACCCAUCUUUCAGUGCACUGAAUAAGUCAUCUGCUUAAAUACAGAGCUGCUUCCAUAUCAGCUUCUAUAAAGUAGUGCGACACUCUGAAAAAGAAGUUUAUCAUGAUAGCUAUAGGACAGGAAUUGAAAGAAAAUCAGAUGGAAAGGCUCUGAAAAUUUCCACAUUACUCAUCUCCAAAGGAAUUUUCAUAAAGAUGUUUGACAACAUCUGAAAAGAUACGUAACCAUGGAGAUACACCUAUUAAUGUGUUUACCACAACACAAUACAUUUAACAUGGCGUAUUUUUAGAAGACCACACACUCUUAACACUUUGUAAGGUUUCGAAGUACAAAUUUCCAUGCUUAGCUCUUCAUAAUUGUGAAUUUAUAAUAGUUUGAAUUUUAUGUGCAGCUUUGUUUAUGAGAAGCAAUACUUUGUAAUUUGAUAAUAUUUCAAAUUAUCUUUAGUCUUUUUGUUUGAACUAUUGCUUGAUUACUGUAACUUGACAUGACUUUCCUAUUGAGAAUCAAAAUCAGGAUUCAGUAAUAGGGAUGCAGAUCUUAAGUCUUUUUAACAUGCACCAUUUUAAGUUUUAUUUUUAUGCUCCACAGUGAAAAAAGUGUGCCGUGUGCAGUUGUGUGGCACUUAACGACAGGUAUGCGUUCUGAGAAAUGUGUCAUUAGGCAAUUUGCUCAUUGUGUGAACAUCAUAGAGUGUGCAGCCUACUCCCACCUAGGCUGUGUGGCGCUAAACUUAGGGGACCACUGUCCUGUGCGCGGCCUGUCGUCGACCGAAGCCUUGUUAUGCGGCGCACGGCUGCAUGCAGAACGCAGACAGGCAGAAAAGCCUGCUUGCCUGGCGUUUCACUAUCUCCACAUGCUGUGAGUGGGAUUUUGGGAGAGAGCCUUUGUUAUUGUCACUAAGUUUUUCAACGUGUGUGUAGCUCUAGGUGCUGAUUUUGCUGUAAUGGAGUCCUGAAGGAUGCCUUUAUAUGAAUGGAGAGACAUCAUGAAUUCUCAGCAGGACUGUUGUAGGCUUGAAUGAAGGUAGAUAUGUGGAACUCAGUUUACAGUGUGCUGUCGAGUGUAAUUCUGCUUGAGACAGAUGCUGGCCUUUAUGAGAAAGGAGUUAAGGACUGAAGCACCAAAAAGAACUUUCUUUCUUAUGAGGCGGUUCUCUGGCCUGGACCCAGAAGCAGUCCCAGAGUAAAAGCCCUCCAAAGUAUAUGAAUCGGUGUUCCUGGAGAAAAAAAGAAAUGGUCGCACCUUUAUCACUUUAAAAUGUUAUUUCCUUUAAAAUAAUUAUGGGGAAAGUUUUUUGGCAAUAGGUUAUAUAAAACAAAAUCUUUCUGCUUAAAUGUUGGUAAUAUGUUUAUAGAUGAGACUAGGAGCUUUUGCACACCAUUUUCACGAUACCUUGGUUGUAUUCUAGCAUUAUUCCCACAUCUUGUCUGGGAAGAUUAGAAAUCUUCACCCCAUGAUGGGGGUGGGGGGGUAGAUUUUUUUCCCCUGUACACCUUCAGUAAAGCAUUGAAGUAUGCCUUUUAACCCAAAGAAUGAUUGGUUUGAUUGUUAAUACGUCUGAAAAAAGUUUUUUUAGCAAAAAUCAUGUAUUAGUUUUAUGCCUUUGGAUGCUUGUUCAUUACAUAAGUUGUUUUUGGUUUUUGUUUUCACUUACUGACAUUUAGAAAAAUACUGGAGGAUCUAGUGUUAAAUUAACAACAAAGGCAUGGGGACUUUCCUGUGUUGAGGGAAUUACUACCCAUUUAAUCUUACAGCUGGGAUUCCAUGUUAAAGACAGGCUCACUUAUACAAGGGUCCUGUGGUCUGUCUUCCUGAGAGCCCUAGAGACCCUUGUAGGGCGCACUCACGGCUCUCAGCACGUCCCUUUGUAGCGCUCCGUGGCGGUUAUCCCACACUUGAGAGUGAGUAGGUGAAAGGAAAGCCUCGUUGGCAGCCACUGUGCUCAUUCUCUGGCAAAUAACGUUCUCCAGCACACCCGUUCUCUUCCUCAAGAUUCAGGUUCCUGCUUCCACAAAAUUACACUUUAUUUAGCUGCAGGUCAUCAGCUGCGCAGUUCUCACAAAUAAUAUUAAAAUUUCAAAUAACUAUGGUCCACUUGUCCGUCAAGAUGAGAUUACCAAUUGAAUCCUCUUGUUAAUUUUAAAGCAGUUUCAGAACCAAAAAUUAUAUGUAAACAUGGCUAAAUUUUUUUUUUCUUGUCCCUAAGAAAAUGAGCAUCUUUGGUCUUAGUAUUUGGCCUUAGUAUUAAAUUUGUAUAUAUUUACUUAUCAUGGUACUUCCAGAUGAUCAUGUUUCCAGUUCCAGUCUUGCCUGUACUAUUUAUAUGGUUUAAAAUAUUUGACAGUUCUAUUUCUGUUAUUGUAUCAUUUCUGUGUUAAGAUCCACAAACAGCUGCUUGCUGAUGUUGAGUCAAUUCAGAGGUGAAUUGACCAGUCUAGUCUCAACAGCAAUAUAUUGAAAAUCGGGAAACAAGUAGAUGAUGACUUGGGGAUGUUUUGAGGUUAAUGUUACUGCUCACUUGAAUGUCAAUUUUCAGUAUUUCCCCUACUAAUGCGACCAACAUUAUGUAUAUAUAACCAGUGUGGCCUGUUUAGAAAAGGUGUGGUUAGUGACGUACACUCCCCAUGGCACCGGAGGGUGCAGUGAGGAAAGGCCUGGCUCGAGGAUUUCCACCUUGCUUACUCGGUGGAUAUUUUAUCAGCUUAUGGAGUUCGUGAGCAGCAUAAAAACAAUCAUUCCUUAAUUCUUCAUUGUGGAACUGGCACAUUUCUAUAAAAUGCAUUUCUAAACGGGCUCCAAGGCACAGCUGUAACAGUCGAUCAGCUGUAGUAUUUCCACAGUGGGAAUGUGGGGAUUUUCUCAUGACAUGAAACUGUAGAAAAUUCUCAGCCCUGUCAUGUACUCUGUAUAAUGAGGGGAAAAUCCUUGUUUCUACAAAGCUGCAGGGUGUAGCAAUACAUGGUAACAUAUGGCCUGACCACUUGAUGUCAUAAAAUGUGUUCACCUGUAAAGCAUACUUUGGCCAUAGCAGAUACUAAAGAAUUAAAACUCUUACUAUAUCAGUGGAGCAAAAAUUAAUGGGCAGCAUCCUCUCUGUUUGGAACGGGACCAGUAUACACUUUAAUUUUAUGCAUUCCCUUAGACUCCAGUUUUUAACUACAUUCAUUGAGUAUGUGUAUGAAUUUAAGUCACUGCUUUUAGCCUAGGUGAAGUUUUUUUCUUUCACUAAAUACAAGGGUGUUUUUUGCCUUAUAAUUUAAUUGUUAUGCACUCAACAUCAGAUACCAACCUGUAAAGUACUAAUGGGUCCUUAAAGGCCUUAUCAGGGAGUUGAAAUUUCAUAUAUAUUACCGGGUUAUUUGUAAAGAAUCUUUUUGAACAGCUGUAAAACAUUUAAAAAC
ensembl:lncRNA